rnacentral:lncRNA from 1 species
CUCUCUCUCUCUCUCUCUCCUUCUCUUGGAUUCUUUCGUUAAUGGCUGCUUGCUUUCGUUCUCCAGGCUAAACGAACAGUUGAGAAUGACGAUAAAGAAGAACGACUUUUGACGUGAAUGGUCUUUGUUUGUACCAUGGCCUGGUCUUUUAUAGCGCAAGGAAGCACCAGACUACUGCAAGAAAAAUAGAGAGCGCACCAAACGAUCUGAAGAAAAGGCUUGAAGGUUUG